rnacentral:rRNA from 1 species
AGCGAACGCUGGCGGUAGGCCUAACACAUGCAAGUCGAACGGCAGCACAGUAAGAGUUUGCUCUUACGGGUGGCGAGUGGCGGACGUGUGAGGAAUACAUCGGAAUCUACUUUUUCGUAGGGGUUAACGUAGGUAAACUUACGCUCAUAUCGCAUACCACCUUCCGGUGUAAGCAGUGGAUCUUCUGAGCUUGCGCGAUUGAAUGAGCCGGUUGCGGAUUAGAUAGUUGGGGGGGUAAGUGCCCACCAAGUUGAGGAUCUGUAGCUGGUCUGAGAGGGUGAGCAGGCAGACGGGAACGGAGACACGGGCAAGACGCCUACGGGAGGAAGCAGGGGGGAAUAUUGGACAAAGGGAGCAAGACUGAACAAGCAGAACGGCGUGGGUGAAGAAGGACUUCGGGUUGAAAAGCCCUUUUGUUGGGAAAGAAAAGCAGCAGGUUAAUACAACGCUGUUGUGACGGUACAGAAAGAAUAAGCACCGGCUAACUUCGUG